CACAGACUCAGGUUUUUAAAAAAUCUUCUCCUUCAUCUGUGAUAGCUGAAGACAGUGCCAUCGGGUCAUAGGAGGAGGAAGACGCAGUCUGGAGCUGCACGGCGACCAGCGACGUAUGAAGAGGCUCACACAGAUAAAGACACAUGGACGCUUCGGUGUGACUGCAGCUCUGCCCUGCUGUCACCAGUGGUCACUCGUGAUCGGUUCAAAGGGAAGUCGUGGCGUUUCAGAGUAGAAGGGGACCCCGCUUGAUGGAUGGUUGACUGUACAGUGUAUACAGCUGGGAACGCGGCGCAGUUGUUUGGUGCGCGGAGCUCAGCAACGUGGAUCAAGAGGACAACCUCGGAAGGCUCUUAAUUAGUUAAAUCACAUCAGAGGGAUUACAUGUGAGCCCAGCGUCAGUCUGCAGGACCAUGAAGCCAGAGCACUGAAGCCACACCUCCCGCUGCUGUACACAGCAGUAUUUGCUGUUAAUUUAAAAUGUUUUAAUGUUAAAUGCAUCGCAAAUCCAAAAUUGUCACUGCACUUCCUUGGGUCCUCAGGAACAAAUCUGCAAAGAGUGAAGUAGGUUGGAUGAACGGUUCUUGAGAUAUCUGAAUGACAGACAGAGAUUCCUUGCACUAUAGUUAGAUUUGGAUUGCCAUUGGCAUGUGGUCGCCCUGGGGUCCUCACCGAAAACCAUAAAAACAAACAAACAAUAUAAAAUCACAAGUGGGUGAAAUGUCUACAUGCGAUAAGACAGACAACAGCUUCUUACAAAGAAAAUAAAAGCUAUCAAAAACAUUGCAAAAACACAAAAUAACUGAACUAACAUCAUACAUUUUUGUAACACUGCUCUGUUUGAUGUUGGGGAGUCGCAUAUUCCAUGCAGAAGAAGCUCUAUAAAGAAUUUAGUCAGUUUAAUAACUGCGCUGCCUGAAACCCUAAAACUCAGCAGAACAGCUCACCAGCACAGGCAGAGCAGCGGAUUAACACAGCUGCAGGGGUGAGACAUUUCGCAGAGUGUGAACUAUGAGUCAUCUCUCAACAUAAAUUUGAUGAUUUUCCCCCCGAUGUGAUGUUUGAUUUGCAUGCAGAAGCUGUGAAGGUUUAAUUACCUCUAUUUACUUUUCUUUUCCGAUUUUCCAUUAUUUGUUAAACACACACACGCACACACACACUGAUGUUUUCUGUAUUGUCUCCCUGAAGGGAUGUGUACACAUUCACUUAUGAAUCAUUAGUGAUGAUAAACCAUUGAUCAAUAUUACACCGUGUCCUCCUAUGGAGUCCUCAGGAAGAUACCCCUGUUGGACAGCCAAAUACAUCGAGUGACCUUUCCUUUGAUAAACAACAUUUAAGGAUGCCGAGGCGCUUCAUCAAUUUGGAUAAUGUUAAUAUAUGCGUUGAAAUAUUGAUUAGGGAUGAUCUACCUCCUAUGAGGAGAGGCUCGUUAAAAAACAUAAUCCCCUGAGCAUCCAGCCAGCAGAAAAAGAUCAGACGGGGGUGUUUAUGCCGAGGUUGACCUGCUGAAUUAAAGAUCAACAAAAAUCUGAUUUACCCUUAAAUGAGCAUAAAUGAUUUAUGCGUCAGUCCUGCAUUUUAAAAACAAGGAUUUGUUUAAUCUAUUAUUUUUUUUUUUAAUGGACACUCUCAGAGGUGACUCAGGAGGAAAGUGUUGAGCACUUUCUCCCAUUUUUUUUUUUUCGUUUUAAACCCGGUGACUCAUAUUAUCAGAUGUAUUGGUUACAUGGCGUUACAACAACUUAGACUGUCAAAAUCAUUUCCAGAUUGAGAAAACAGACAGAAGUAAUAAAGAACAAUGAGCACAGAGGAGGAUCACAAUGGUUUGGAUCGCAAUGUCAUGACCAUUGUAUUAAGCAUUUGUUUCGCUCUCUGAACUCGCCUGCAGUGCGACAUGAAUGUCAAGGUGUGCUAUAAAAGAUGUCUGUUACGUUUAUUGAGCGGGAACUCCAAACAACGCGUCCGAACAGGUCUAGCUGGUUCCUCAAAGUGGCAUUGGACAACGAAACGUGGGAACACCGACGUAAAUUCUCUUCUGUAACCGCCUCCACGCCCUUGUGCACAGCCGUUGUUUCUAUAAAGACACAUUAAGUGACACACGCAACUUCGCUCACAUGUGCGUGAAUGCCUGUGCUCUAUUUUCCAUGAUGACAGCGAGGGAAUCCUGUGAUGUAGGAUGCAGAUUUUCUAUGAUUCAUACGAUGACUCACACUGUAGAGUUUUGAGUCCAUCCAAGCUGUAGAGCUGCCCCAACGGUAAGUUAUGUGAUGCUGUCUUUGGGAAAGGAAGCAAGAGAGUCGAUAUUCUCGUCUAAUUCGGCAAGAAAAGGCAACCAAGUGUAUUCCCCAAAAGUCGAACUCUUCCUUUAAAUGUCUGGCAUGCAGGAUUAAUUGAAAUCUUAAGGUGAUGUUGCAGAUUGCAACCAACUGACCACCCCUCGUGUCAUCCUAAAAACAAGAAAAUUCUCAUAAGGCCCACUCUGGAGUCAGUGCUUGGUUUGGGCGUUCUGGGCUACCGUAGAAACAUGCUGGACUUGGCUCCUUCUGUGGGUAUAAAAGUUAAAUUCUAAGGCAGUGGUUCAUUUUCCCUCACACACACACACACACACACACACACACGCACACACACGUCUCUUGCUUGCAAACACAGUGGUAACGUUAGCUGUGGCAUGGGUUCACCUGCCAGCUCAAUAAACCACAGUUUGCAGUAUAAAUAAUUUAUAUUUUAACUGUAAUUAAUACAAAACUCCCACUUCAGUGUGAUAUCUUACUGAAAAUAUUGAAUAAUUCACAAGACAUUGAAGGUGACAUUGAAUCUUGCAUCUUCAAUUUAGAGUUUAGCCACCGAGAGACGUCUUUACUUGUUCAGCUAUUGUCAGAGGACAAUAUUUGAGACACACCGCACACUGUUGUCUCUCUUCAUUAACCACCACUAUACUAAUAAAUCAGAGAGCAAAAUAUAUGACAUCAUUUCUUGUCAUUGGUUUUUGUAGUUGCCACAGACUUUCUUAGCAGUGUGAACCACGCCUCGUUCAUUUAGCACUGUCCCACUUUGGGAACCACUGAUCUGGGAUGAAGAAAACACAGAAAUUUGUACCUACAGGUGAUUAUACGCAAAUAAAAUCAUAAUCACAAACGUUUUCUUUCAUUUCCAAAGUACGCAAAAGUCAUACUUGAGUCUAAGUUAAGACGUGUUAAAAUGUG